GACGAACGCUGGCGGCGUGCUUAACACAUGCAAGUCGAACGGAAAGGCCCUGCUUUUGUGGGGUGCUCGAGUGGCGAACGGGUGAGUAACACGUGAGUAACCUGCCCUUGACUUUGGGAUAACUUCAGGAAACUGGGGCUAAUACCGGAUAGGAGCUCCUGCUGCAUGGUGGGGGUUGGAAAGUUUCGGCGGUUGGGGAUGGACUCGCGGCUUAUCAGCUUGUUGGUGGGGUAGUGGCUUACCAAGGCUUUGACGGGUAGCCGGCCUGAGAGGGUGACCGGCCACAUUGGGACUGAGAUACGGCCCAGACUCCUACGGGAGGCAGCAGUGGGGAAUAUUGCACAAUGGGCGGAAGCCUGAUGCAGCAACGCCGCAUGCGGGAUGACGGCCUUCGGGUUGUAAACCGCUUUCGCCUGUGACGAAGCGUGAGUGACGGUAAUGGGUAAAGAAGCACCGGCUAACUACGUGCCAGCAGCCGCGGUGAUACGUAGGGUGCGAGCGUUGUCCGGAUUUAUUGGGCGUAAAGGGCUCGUAGGUGGUUGAUCGCGUCGGAAGUGUAAUCUUGGGGCUUAACCCUGAGCGUGCUUUCGAUACGGGUUGACUUGAGGAAGGUAGGGGAGAAUGGAAUUCCUGGUGGAGCGGUGGAAUGCGCAGAUAUCAGGAGGAACACCAGUGGCGAAGGCGGUUCUCUGGGCCUUUCCUGACGCUGAGGAGCGAAAGCGUGGGGAGCGAACAGGCUUAGAUACCCUGGUAGUCCACGCUGUAAACGGUGGGUACUAGGUGUGGGGUCCAUUCCACGGGUUCCGUGCCGUAGCUAACGCUUUAAGUACCCCGCCUGGGGAGUACGGCCGCAAGGCUAAAACUCAAAGGAAUUGACGGGGCCCCGCACAAGCGGCGGAGCAUGCGGAUUAAUUCGAUGCAACGCGUAGAACCUUACCUGGGUUUGACAUGGAUCGGGAGUGCUCAGAGAUGGGUGUGCCUCUUUUGGGGUCGGUUCACAGGUGGUGCAUGGCUGUCGUCAGCUCGUGUCGUGAGAUGUUGGGUUAAGUCCCGCAACGAGCGCAACCCUUGUUCACUGUUGCCAGCACGUUAUGGUGGGGACUCAGUGGAGACCGCCGGGGUCAACUCGGAGGAAGGUGGGGAUGACGUCAAGUCAUCAUGCCCCUUAUGUCCAGGGCUUCACGCAUGCUACAAUGGCUGGUACAGAGAGUGGCGAGCCUGUGAGGGUGAGCGAAUCUCGGAAAGCCGGUCUCAGUUCGGAUUGGGGUCUGCAACUCGACCUCAUGAAGUCGGAGUCGCUAGUAAUCGCAGAUCAGCAACGCUGCGGUGAAUACGUUCCCGGGGCU
rnacentral:rRNA from 1 species